UAUUAAGAGAUCAUCCUCAUCCAUCAGAUCAUCCUCAUCAGCGUUAAAAUUUGCACCGUUAGUUAUCCAAUCAUCAUCUUCUAGGAUUUUCUCAGUAUUCGGAUCCUCUACCUCUUGAUUCUUCAUCUCAUUGCCCAAAUCAGACUGCACCUCAAUCGAUUGCUCCAUUAGUCCCUCUUCCUCUAAAGUUUGUUCAUACCAGCUUUUCCUUUUUUCUUUCUCAGGAUUGGCAGACACUGCCGGUAUGAUAGAUUUCUUCAAAGAUUCAGCAUGAGGUGAUUCUCGCUCAAACCUGAGACUUUUUUUUUGCAGAGCUUCCCACUUCAGAUCUAGAAGCGUCGAACAGGUCUGCGACUUUGCCUUUCAGUUUUUGAUCAUCGGUAGAUUUUCUUUGAAGUGUAUGUCUGAAAGGUCUUUCUCUGAUAUGUUCAGGCGAUGAAUUGGUGAGUCGGGCCACCUAAGAUGGAGCAGAUACCGCUUUUUUCGGUUCCUUAGCCAUGGCAGUAAGAUGAGCCCGAGACUUUUCAGGUGCCCGCUCUCCUUCGUCCCUUCUUUUUGCAACUAUUUGCUUGUUUUCCAUUUUUCUUUCCGCCUCUCUGUGUUUGCUUGAUGCAAAAGACUCUUCGUAUCUCCUCUUAUUGUAGGUUUCAUUAGGUUUCUGUAAUUUUUCAAGAUCACGGGGUGCUUGACGGGGUUCCCGUCGGUAGUCAUCUCUCGGAGCAUAACAGGAGUCAAUGCGCUUCCACACGCUAUCCUUGUUGUCUCUUUGAGGUCUCUCUCCUGGAUGGUUGUCUUAAAGGUUUGAUGUCUUCUCAUCAUUGGUAAAUCGUUUUGAAAUCUCUUCAUAUCGCAUUCCUUCCUUCCUAAUGAAACCACUUUGCUCUCUAAUGGUUUCUUUAGCCAACAGUCUCUGUUUUCUUUCUUCUUCAGAUAGCAGGGGACAGUUUUCAACUUCGUGGGAGAUGAGAUGACAGUUGUGACACCAACAGAACAAGUUUACAUAUUCGAAAGAGACUGGGACUAUUUCUCCUGAGGGGAUUUGAGCACGAAGAGAGAACUUUAGUGGUUGGUCUCCAUCGAUCUCGACUUGGAACUUUGCCGCUCUCGCAUCAAUCUUUCCAACAAGUCCGAGCUUUUUCCCGAAAGUGUAGAAGAUCAGGUCCAUCCAGAAGUGUGUUGGUAUCCCCGUCACACAAACCCAAAAGGUCAUGGUGUUUGGGAAUGAGUCACCAACAUGAGGAGCCCAUCUCUCAAGAGAAAAUGACCACUUAUUAAAGUGGCAGGGGCGCUUACUUAAAACCUUCAGGAGGUCAGCCUCUGAAUCGAAAUCGAAUUGGAAUCUGUGGUUUCCAAGGUCUACCCCACGAACGCGACCUUCCACGUCCCAGAUACUGUGUCGAGGGAGGAAGGCUAUAAGAGCUUCCACAUUGCACCUCUCCUUGUUGAAAAUCCUACCAACCAAGCUAAGGUGAUAACGAGCAAUCAACUCAGAGUUGUCUACGUCGGACAGUAGGGAGAGAGAAGGCUGUAGAUCUGAGCUUUAAACGGUCAGACAAGCUUGAGUAUGAGAAGAAGGGCCGUUGACAGAGCUUGAAACGCCUUUAAAAAUCUUCCUUUGUAGGAGCUAGGACCUAUCAAAGGAAGCGAUAGAACAAGAGAAGUGCAUGAACUGGGCUUGUCUACAGGUUGUAGAAAGGUUUGGAUAUAGAGCCAUGGUUGCAGAAUGGACACAUCUGAGAUUACGAUGGAGAUAACAUCGGUGGGAAAUGAGACACAACGAAAGAAAUAGUGAAAAAACGUCGCCGGAAUAACUAGAUCUAGCUUUCUCCACCGUCCGUACAAGGUUUCAGCGGAGGGGCUUCAUUCUCGAGAGUGUGGUUGAGCUGUAUUGGGAAUCAUGUCUGGGAGCUUUUGACUUUUAGGAUUCUCUACUGUGAUUGUCAUUACGUGCACUGUCUUAGAGCCUUAAUAAUUAAGAACACAAAUUUUUA